GACGAACGCUGGCGGCGUGCUUAACACAUGCAAGUCGAACGGAAAGGCCCUGCUUUUGUGGGGUGCUCGAGUGGCGAACGGGUGAGAACACGUGAGUAACCCGCCCUUUACUUUGGGAUAACUUCAGGAAACCGGGGCUAAUACCGGAUAGGAGCUUCUUCUGCAUGGUGGGGGGUGGAAAGUUUCGGCGGUUGGGGAUGGACUCGCGGCUUAUCAGCUUGUUGGUGGGGUAGUGGCUUACCAAGGCUUUGACGGGUAGCCGGCCUGAGAGGGUGACCGGCCACAUUGGGACUGAGAUACGGCCCAGACUCCUACGGGAGGCAGCAGUGGGGAAUAUUGCACAAUGGGCGGAAGCCUGAUGCAGCAACGCCGCGUGCGGGAUGACGGCCUUCGGGUUGUAAACCGCUUUCGCCUGUGACGAAGCGUGAGUGACGGUAAUGGGUAAAGAAGCACCGGCUAACUACGUG
rnacentral:rRNA from 1 species